AACGAACGCUGGCGGCAUGCCUAACACGUGCAAGUCGAACGAGACCUUCGGGUCUAGUGGCGCACGGGUGCGUAACGCGUGGGAAUAUGCCCUUCACUGCGGAAUAACGUUUGGAAACGAACGCUAAUACCGCAUAAUGACUCCGGUCCAAAGAUUUAUCGGUGAAGGAUUAGCCCGCGUUAGAUUAGCUAGUUGGUGAGGUAAUGGCUCACCAAGGCGACGAUCUAUAGCUGGUCUGAGAGGAUGAUCAGCCACACUGGGACUGAGACACGGCCCAGACUCCUACGGAGGCAGCAGUGAGGAAUAAUUGGACAAUAGGGCGCAAGCCUGAUCCAGCCAUGCCGCGUGAGUGAAGAAGG
rnacentral:rRNA from 1 species